rnacentral:misc_RNA from 1 species
AACGCACAUUGCGCCCUCCGGUCCUCCGGGGGGCAUGCCUGUCCGAGCGUCAGUGCAACCCUCGAGCCCCCGGCUCGGUGUUGGGCGCCGUCCUCCUCCGGGGGGCGCGCCUGGAAAUCGGCGGCGGUGCGGCCGGGCGAUCGAGCGCAGUAACCAAGUCUUCCGCUCCGACCUCGCCCGGGCGCUCCGGCCGGACAACCCCCCGAACCCAUGAAUUGACCUCGGAUCAGGUAGGGAUACCCGCUGAACUUAA